AUGCACGCUGGCGGCGUGCCUAAUACAUGCAAGUCGAGCGAACAGAUGAGGAGCUUGCUCCUCUGACGUUAGCGGCGGACGGGUGAGUAACACGUGGAUAACCUACCUAUAAGACUGGGAUAACUUCGGGAAACCGGAGUUAAUACCGGAUAAUAUAUUGAACCGCAUGGUUCAAUAGUGAAAGACGGUUUUGCUGUCACUUAUAGAUGGAUCCGCGCCGCAUUAGCUAGUUGGUAAGGUAACGGCUUACCAAGGCAACGAUGCGUAGCCGACCUGAGAGGGUGAUCGGCCACACUGGAACUGAGACACGGUCCAGACUCCUACGGGAGGCAGCAGUAGGGAAUCUUCCGCAAUGGGCGAAAGCCUGACGGAGCAACGCCGCGUGAGUGAUGAAGGUCUUCGGAUCGUAAAACUCUGUUAUUAGGGAAGAACAAAUGUGUAAGUAACUAUGCACGUCUUGACGGUACCUAAUCAGAAAGCCACGGCUAACUACGUG
rnacentral:rRNA from 1 species